CAAGAGUACCCAGAUGCAGCGCAAGAUGGCGGACCCAAAGAUGAAAAAACGCAAUAACAAAACGCAAUACAUUUCCGCAUUACCUCCGAUUGGCGCAAUGAAUUUCCGCAUUACCUCCGAUUGGCGGACCCAAAACAUGAACUUCCGCUUUGCGAUGCCAGAACAGUAGGUGGCGGUAUGCACCUACACUUUCUGACGGCAAAAUUUACAGAAGAAGAAGAACUCUCAGGAAGUUUGAAAAGAAGCAAGCCGUCCGCAUUCAUUCAAUCUCACCUCCGACCCACUCAAACUAACCCUAACCCUGCAUUCCAUUGUUUCCAUCAUGGGAAAUCUAAGUGACGCUCUCAAAUUAACAGGAACAUUGCGCAGAAGAUAUGUCCUGGGCAAUGGACUGAGAAAACGGGCAGAGAUUUGGAGGUAUUUGUGCAUGCUCUAUAUUACAGUUGAAAAGUGUAUAACAGCUUUCCAAUGCUGUUACUUGUGGCGAACACCUUUUUGCUUGAGUUGAUGCGUGCCCGCAGGUGGAAUAAUGUCACAUGUCACACACAUUUUCUGUUGUUUUGAUUUAUUUACUUAUUCAUCAUUUUAUGUGCGCACCUCUCCUAAUCAACCCACCCAUUAAAUAGACAGGCACAAUAGCACCAUCUGCUGGCACAAAAGUACAUAACAAUAAACUGCAAAACCCCAAUCUGGCUCCUACAAAGUGUAUGUGACAAGAUGAUUAACGUUUGCUUUUGUUAAAUCAGGGCUUCCCCAGCCAGGACUUUGGCUCAGACUGUGGCAUAUUCAUGUUGAUGGUAGGUCAUAACGAGCUGUAAUGCACAAAUAUUGUAUCUAGAAUAACUUUCCAACAUGGACUUUUUUAAAGUUAUCUCACAUGUUGUCUCAUAAUUUUUUUUUUUUAAGUCUGCCAUGUACAUCGUUCUGGAGUCACAGUUUGACUACUCAGUUGUAAGUACUUUUCAACACGCAGUGUCAUCCUCAAGAUUGUAUUUUGUAUUGUGCACUAAAAUGAAAUACAAACAACAAUUUCAGCAUGACAUGCCUGUUUUGCGGCGAUGGUGGUGCCUGUUGCUCCUGGAGAACAAUUCUUUGAACAGGUAGACAGUUUAAGUAAACUAAACCUAAUUAACUGGAAGACAAUCAAUAUAUUGUACUUAAAGAUAUAUUGUCAUUACAGUUGUGGGAAAAUCUUCGCCCACUGGACCAAAGAAUGUCAAGAGCUCAUUGCUGGAAAGCAUACUCCGGUCUUCAGUCUAAAGAGGAAGGCCGAGCAGCAGGACAUAGAGGUUAGAAAAUUGCCUUCUAAAAACAGUAUUAUCCUUCAAAAUGCACACAGUUGUAUGGAUCAACAUUGUCUCGAUGUAUUUGGUAAUUGAUGUUACUUUUCAAAUUGCCUUGUCAAGGAAACCAUGACGCAGACAGCAUCGGAUGUCCAAAGAAUGUGCAUGGCAGAUUCAAUGCAAUUCUGUGUCUACCAGACAUCGAACAACACAGGAGAGAGGUGUGUUGCAGACUCAAUUUAAUAAAUGCAAUUAUCGGGGCCUAUUCAGUGAUUUUCCAUGAAGUGACCACUUUUACAUAUAGUUUAAAUGCACGAAUCAUGCGGGAAAAUUAUUUAUACAUUCAAAUGUGCUGCAGAGGUAUAAUCAAUUGGACAGCGUGUUUGUUUAAUAUUAUGUUUGUCUUUCAUUUGAUCAGAUUGCUUUACCCUGAGGUAAACUUCAUGAAAUGGGUCCAGUGCAAGACGUGCAGGGGCUGGCUGCAUCAGGAUUGUGCUGGGAUUGAAAUGGAGCCGUUUGACUGCGGGUGCGAGGACUCCAUUGAGCAUCCUCGGUAUAACAUAAUUUAUCAAGGAAACAUAGUAUCAGUCAAAAAUACGAGGCUCAAAGGAUGAAAAAAUGAGGGCUUGCUCUUUUUCUUAUUUCUCUGCAGGAUCAAGGAUGCUGUUGACAGUGGAGGAAUUCAUGCUGUCUUUUCUAAGACACAGAUCAAGGUUGCUUUUGAAUGCACUAUCAGUUGUUAAAG